rnacentral:rRNA from 1 species
UACGGGGGGGGCAAGCGUUGUUCGGAAUUACUGGGCGUAAAGCGCACGUAGGCGGAUACUUAAGUUAGGGGUGAAAUCCCAGGGCUCAACCCUGGAACUGCCUUUAAUACUGGGUAUCUCGAGUCCGAGAGAGGUGAGUGGAAUUCCGAGUGUAGAGGUGAAAUUCGUAGAUAUUCGGAGGAACACCAGUGGCGAAGGCGGCUCACUGGCUCGGUACUGACGCUGAGGUGCGAAAGCGUGGGGAGCAAACAGG